rnacentral:misc_RNA from 1 species
GCUCGACCUCCACCCUCUAUCUACCUUCUUAUGUUGCCUCGGCGGGUCGCCGGCGCCCUCACGGGCGGCGGCCGUCGGCAUUCGUGCUCUCGAGUGCCCGCCAGAGGACCGAUCGAACCCUGCUCAUCGUAGACUUCUGAGUGAGAAACACAAUAACUUCAAAACUUUCAACAACGGAUCUCUUGGUUCUGGCAUCGAUGAAGAACGC